rnacentral:rRNA from 1 species
UACGAAGGGGGCUAGCGUUGUUCGGAAUUACUGGGCGUAAAGCGCGCGCAGGCGGUCUUCCAAGUCAGUGGUGAAAGCCCGGAGCUCAACUCCGGAACUGCCAUUGAAACUGUUAGACUUGAGGAUGAGAGAGGUGAGUGGAAUUCCCAGUGUAGAGGUGAAAUUCGUAGAUAUUGGGAAGAACACCGGUGGCGAAGGCGGCUGACUGGACAUGUAUUGACGCUAAGGUGCGAAAGCGUGGGGAGCGAACAGG